rnacentral:rRNA from 1 species
GAUGAACGCUAGCUACAGGCUUAACACAUGCAAGUCGAGGGGUAACGAGAGGAAAGCUUGCUUUCCUUGUUGACGACCGGCGCACGGGUGAGUAACGCGUAUCCAACCUGCCCCCAACUAGGGAAUAACCUUGCGAAAGUAAGACUAAUACCCUAUAAUUUCCUCAGAUGUCAUCUGACGAGGAAUAAAGAUUUAUCGGUUGUGGAUGGGGAUGCGUCUGAUUAGCUCGUUGGCGGGGUAACGGCCCACCAAGGCAACGAUCAGUAGGGGUUCUGAGAGGAAGGUACCCCACAUGGGAACUGCGACACGGUCCAAACUCCUACGGGAGGCUGAAGUGAGGAAUAUUGGUCAAUGGGCGGAAGCCUGAACCAGCCAAGUAGCGUGCAGGAUGACGGCCCUAUCGGUUGUAAACUGCUUGUAUACAGGAAUAAAGUCAUCCACGUGUGGUUAUUUGUAGGUACUGUAUGAAUAAGGACCGGCUAAUUCCUUGCCAGCCGCCGCCGUAA